CACUAAACUUCUCUCUGCCGUUGUCGUAGAGCCAAUUGGAAUUACUGAAAGAAAAGGUGUUCAUAUGAUGAGAUCUUCCUCUUCUUCCAUGGUACCAGCCAUGGCAAUCCUGGCUAUCACACUCAUACGCUGCUCCCUGCCAUGCUCUGCUGACAUCCAAGUUCAUACGGAGGGAACCCGUGAGGGACAGAGCCCUCCGGCGCCACAGGCAGCGCCACGCCAGGGUACGGCAUACCGCCGCCGCCCCAACACUACGCCGCCGGCACCUGCAGUGCUGCACCGCAAGACCCUGCAGCAGGCUGUUCCAGUGCCACCGAUGUGAUGGUCUAUACUAUGCGCGCGCUCAGAAAGUUCAUCGUUUUUGUUGGCAGAGUGAAGAAGUGCCAGUGACAGCGAUAUGUUACUAACUCCAGAAAAAUAAGUAUAUGGAGAUGCAUGGCUCUAGCGUUCUUUUAUUAAAAACAUAUCUUUCAAUAAGAUGGCUAUAUUCAUCGUUUCGUAAUAAUCUGUAUGAGUUUUAAAUGUCAAGUACCUAUUGUUAAUGUUAUGUAUGUUCCGUCACAAAAGAAUGAAGUGGAUAAGAUUGUUUGCAACAUGGAAAAUUUGUUUGUUUGCAACAUGGAAAACUACUUUUUUUUG